UCUAGCUCAAGGGCUGGCGCACAUCUGCUCUUGGCGACUGGUGGCCUGCUUCUUCCCCGAGCUGUGCUGAGGAAACGUUGGCGUGAUGCUACAGCGCCUCAGCCUGGGGAAGGUGACGGGAAAGAAAAGUGGAACUCUAUACGGAUAAUGCUGGGAAUAUAUGAACAAGUUUCAGAAGGAGUUUUGGAACUGCAGGGUGGUGUUUCUGGUCAAAAUCAUGGAGCCAUAUGUUAGCUUCGGAUUCUCUCUUUGGAAGCAGCCUCGUUGCAAAGUGCAGCUCUUCUUCAUUCAGGGAAGAAGAAUAUAAACCUUCUAGAACGAAACGUGCUGAGGAUGGCUUUCAGCUGCCGCGUUCUUAGCCAAAGCCAAGUGCCUUGGAAGUGCAGUGGAGGUGGUAUAGACUUUCUAAAUGAUAGCUGCUGGAAACACAAUCGGGAGCCACGGACACUACCUACCCUGAGAUCACAAGCAAGUCUCCAUGUCUCGCCGACCUGACUUGUGACCAGAAGCUAUUAAACC